CCUUGGCCUCACUCCACCCCCAUUCCCUCUCAGGGAGUCUCUCAGUCUUCCUAGCUCGCUUGCGCUGCCAUCAGGCCUUAAUGCCAGUUGGCCUUCUGCCUGGCCAGCUCCACCCUGUGAUGUCACCAGGCCAUGUAGCUCGGAGUCAGGUUUGAAGUGUUCCCCACCCCCAAAUGGUCUGUCCUCUUCUUCAGGCCUCACAGCACCAUCUGACUUCCCCUUUGGGACUUUGAGUAUUUGUGAACCAGUUGUUUCCCCUCUCCAGGCCAUCAGCUCCUUGAGCUCAGGGACCAGACUGAGCCCUUGCCUCUACCUCAUGCUGCUGUGUCCCCAUCAUCCAGAUAGAGCAGAAGCUCACUAAGGCGCCACACGCACCCUCAUGGCUGUGCUGUUCACAAAGGUGGGAAGGUGGAGGAGACCAGGCAAACAUCAUCGAAGGCUGCAGAUGAACAUGCUGUGGCGCACCGUAUGUUCAGUCAUAAGACAUGUACUGAAAGACGGGAGACUCUCAAACGCAUGUUAAGUGAAAGUCACAAGAGGUCACAGAGUUGGAAGGGAGGAAGCUGGGGCUGGAAAUGCUUACUUCCUAGACACAGGCAAACGAAGGCAGAGAAAGUAUCCAGGAUAGACCUGCCCACCGCACCUCGGCCAGCACAGGCCCAGCUUGGCGGAACGCUAGUCUUGGUCUCCCAUGGGCUCUAGGCUUCAAGCCCGUUGGCCAGCUUGAGGAUGAGGAUGGUUCCAUUUCCCUCUGAGGCUAUGUGGGCAGCAGGAGGCUACGGAGCAGUUUGAUGCCAUCAGGAUGGGAGCAGCCUUGAAUGCCUGCCACUUCUCUGCCUGACCUGGUGCAGCAUACGGCUUUCCUCACUUUACCGGGUCUAGGCUCUGGGCUCUCCCUGCCCUCUUCAUGCACAGCCUCCUUCUGACAGCCUGCCUGGCUCUGCCCAAGACUUUCAGAGGA